rnacentral:misc_RNA from 1 species
AAAGUCGUAACAAGGUUUCCGUAGGUGAACCUGCGGAAGGAUCAUCACAGAGAAAAAAAGGGGGUUAGUAGAGUAUUAUUAGCCCCCACCAAUCAUGUGUGCACCGUGUUUCAGUGAUUAUGCGUGUAUGUUGGCAAGGCUCACACACUUACUUGUUUGUGUCGUCGUCUUGCCGACCGCAUGCCUCUCUUACUAUUAUCUUGAUGCAAUCUCUUGUACAACACACAUGUUAGUAUAAUAUAUACACUAUUACAACUUUUAACAAUGGAUCUCUUGGCUCUC